GUGACGUCAGCGCGCGGGGCGGGCUCCGGCUGCGGGGUCCCGCGCGGUCGCUGCCGCCGGCGGGGAGCCAGCGGGGCGCGUUCCAGCGCGGGUGUCCGCUUGCCGGCUUCCGGGAAGUUCCGGCUGGAUCCGCGCGCCCUCCCGCGUGGGGCGACGGUGCGGCGGGCCGCGGAGGGAGGACGCUCCGUGUCUGGAGGUCUCUCGGCUGUUCGGGGCAGACAGGUCGGUCCGCGCAGCGCGCGGGGAGCGUGAGGAACGACGGUUUCCGGGUCCCCGCCGGUGAUUACCUCACGGUCCGGACGCUCAGUCAGGGCCGGCCCCAGGGAAGCGCUGUGGAGCCCACGCUGCGUUCCGAGGGCCGGCGGCGGACGAGUGUCCCUCGCUCCUCCGGUCUUCGUUCCCGGCGACCUUGAGCAUCCUUCCUUCCGAAGGGGGGGCUGGGAGCGCACGCGCGGUGGCGGCCGUUGACCGGCGCUGUCGCCUCGUGUCCCCCAAGCUCCCCCCUCCCCCGGAGUGACAUCUCACGGUGUCCGUCGUGUCCCCCGAGUUUGUCCCCCGGAGUGACACGUCACGGUGUCCGUCGUGUCCCCCGAGCGUCCCCCGCCUGGAGUUCGGACUUGAUGGUGCGCCUCCCGUUGCCACGAGCUCCUCUCCCCCAUGGCGGGGAUCCUGGAGGGACGACUUGAUACCUAGGACGGCUGCAGGGACGAAGCCUGGUGUCCUCAGGACAAAAGCAUGACACUCCACAGACGGCUUUGCCGCGUGCAGGAAACCGCGGCCGGAGACGGAAGCGCCGUCCCAGCAUCGUCCGCGGAGCAGGUCGAGGACUCCGUGCUCCCGGAGUGCUCCGGGGGAAGCAGGUGCCGGUGCUGAUCGCCUCGCCCACGUCUCCUUAAUGGUUCAGCCGGGCUCGAAGGCCCGUGAGGGCAGUGACCGGACUGGCAGUGUUUACCAUCGUGUCUCCAGGCUGGCACAUGCCUCGAUGAAUAGCCGAGACCUCCCUUCUCUUCAGGUCAUACAAUUCUGUGUGCGUGGCAUGGAGAUUUCUAAACGUGUAUCAGAAACAUUGCUCCAGGGUCCAGAACGCUCGGUUUUGGGCAAGGACACUCAACCUCAAGCAAGGGUGGAGGUUUUCCUUUUCUUGCUCUUUCCCGUAUUACACUUAGUUGUAAAGAUAUAAAAGGGCCAGUCUCAAACCUUUUCCUCAGCAACGGCUAAAUGUGCUAAUGCCAAGUCAUACUCAAGACUGAAUUACAAACGGAAGACAGUUAAUUACUUUGUUAACACAGGAAUGGGCAUGAGCCUUUCCGUCCUGUGGUCUUUCCUCUAAUGAGCCCUAGAAUCAGGUCCUUGAAGGAUUUAUGAACACGAACCACAUAAAAAGUCUUGCACAUCUGCAGUGGUGUUUAGCCUGAGCGGCCUACGGAUGUAAAAUACACUGAAGAGAAGUGUCCAUGUUGGACACCAGUCAACCUCCCGGUCUCAGCUGCCCUCAAACUUCGGGCCACUUCCCUGUGCUUAAUGACACCAACAAGGCAGAACACAUCUCAUUCUGAACAGAGUCUAGUAACAGGCCCAGCUCAGUUGGGUUUUGCUGGUAUUUUUAAACUCCUCAGUCUCCUGGAAGCUCUUCAUGUUACCUCCUUCCUCAUGUGCCGACACUUAACGAAAGCCACUGCUUUCAGAGGAAAGAAGAACAUCAUUGUGAGUGAUCGAGUAAAAAGCUCUAAAGUUUCAGACCGUGCCCUUAACAUUUCAAGUUUCAGAGAAAAGAGCUGCCUUCUGUUUAAGGUGAAUCCUUUCUGCUUUGUUUCACAUCCCGUCUCACCCAAGUCUAGGCCUUUAUCUUGUCCACUUCUUCUACCUCUUGUUCUAGCUUCUUCCCUAUCACCUCUCCCAUGGGAGCACAAUUUGCCUCUCUUCCUUUCAUACUACUAACCAGGACUCUUUUUGCCCAAACUCACCAAGACUCCUAUCUUUUCUGAGAUACUCCUUUGGUGACCCAACCACAUUUUUACCUGAACCACCUGAGAGGUUUCUGUGCUAUGCAACCAAGAGAAUCAGAAAAGGCUUGUUCCUUUCUUGCUUGCUCAGAUCAUUACAGAAAUCUCUGACUUGACUGGUAACCCUUUAAUCCUGCUCUUUCAAAGUUGCACAGAGACCAUCCCUCCCCACCAUAGAAGAGGCAGUGGCAGGCCUGCCUGAGGUGGAAGGCUGACUUGUCAGCCUGGCUCUGUUAGCAAAUAAAUGCACACUGAGGAUAAUGAAAGCCAGGUUUCUUGCUGUUGGAGAAGAAAUUACAAGCAUGGAAAGGGAGAAUCCAGAAAGAACCCUUGUGUUGGACUGGACUUGGAGGAGGCAUUUAUUCAGCAGCUGUGCUGGGGAUAGUGAGCAAGAGGAGACUGCCUUCACCAAGCCCGUGAACAGGGUGCAUCUGAGGAGCUUGAAGUCAUGCCAUUUGCUGAUGAAGGAUGGAAGCAGGGAGUGGGCUGCAGUGGAAAUAAGGGGCAGAGUCAACACACGAUUAUCUUGAAAGGCAUCUGGUUGCACUUGAGACCCAUGUCUGUCACAUGGUGUGCAUGACUUUAUCCUCCUAGUCAACAGAGUCCGAAGCUUUUCCAGAAUCAGCUGUUUUCUUGGUUGACAGUGCUUAAAAGCAUGGACUCCGGCAUCAGCCCAUCCACCAGCUUGACUUUGUGAGUUUAGGCAAGUGAAUUAACCUUUCUGGACUUCAGUCUCCUCAUCUGGAAAGCAGCAUGUCUACCUCACAGGGAUGCCACGAGAAUGAAGCAAAUGGCCCAAUGUAAGGUUUGAGUUUGGUGCCUCACUUGGAGCAAUUCCUCAAAUAUCACAGCUCUCACUGAAACUACCUUUCCUACCUUCCUUUUCUGUUAUGUUCUUCCUAAAGGGUUAGUGAGUGACAUUAAUGAGCUCUUCCUAAAGGGUUAAUGAGUGAGAAAAGAAAGUAGUGAUAUGCCCAGGACCAGAGUACAAUGAAAUAUAAAAGGCUUUUUAGAUCUGCUAUUAAUUUCUCUAAGGCAAGAAGCUAGGUAAAUGGCCUUUGAAACAAAGUAGACAGAUCCCGUAAAACUGUAAACUGGUUCAUAAUAGUAUAUGAUUCAAAAACACGACAUCUGCUAAAUAAAUUUUGUAUUUCCAGGAAAAUGUUAUCAAAAGCACAGACUACUACUAACAUGCUCAUGGAUGUACUCCCUAAUACAUGAUUUGAGAGUCUACUCUUUUUUGUGUGCAUGAAAUAUUAAGGGGAAUCUUUCCUUAGUAACAUUUGCAUACUAAACAUGCAGAAGAAUUUGUGGAAACAGCUAAACAUUUAGUUAUUAUAAUGUGCAUCACUGGGUUAGGACCAGCCCUGUUCAGUCUGGCAUGCUUAAGAUGGACUUCUAUAUUAAGCUUCAAAUAAAAUAAUUCUGAUAAAUCUGA